rnacentral:misc_RNA from 1 species
CAGCCGCGUAAUUCCAGCUCCAAUAGCGUAUAUUAAAGUUGUUGCAGUUAAAAAGCUCGUAGUUGAAUUUCGGGAUUGACACAUCGGUCGUGCCUUAAGGGGUAUGAACUGGUGUAGUCAAUUUCUCACCUUCUGGAGAACCGCAAUGCCCUUAAUUGGGUGUCGCGGGGAACCAGGACCUUUACUUUGAAAAAAUUAGAGUGUUUAAAGCAGGCAUUUUGCUUGAAUACAUUAGCAUGGAAUAAUAAAAUAGGACGGAUGAUUCUAUUUUGUUGGUUUCUAGGACCACCGUAAUGAUUAAUAGGGAUAGUUGGGGGCAUUAGUAUUUAAUUGUCAGAGGUGAAAUUCUUGGAUUUAUUGAAGACUAACUACUGCGAAAGCAUUUGCCAAGGAUGUUUUCAUUAAUCAAGAACGAAAGUUAGGGGAUCGAAGACGAUCAGAUACCGUCGUAGUCUUAACCAUAAACUAUGCCGACUAGGAAUCAGACGAUGUUAAUUUUUUAAUGACUCGUUUGGCACCUUACG